rnacentral:rRNA from 1 species
ACGCUGGCGGCGUGCCUAAUACAUGCAAGUCGAACGAGAGCGACCGGUGCUUGCACUGGUCAAUCUAGUGGCGAACGGGUGAGUAACACGUGGGUAACCUGCCCAUCAGAGGGGGAUAACAUUCGGAAACGGAUGCUAAAACCGCAUAGGUCUUCGAACCGCAUGGUUUGAAGAGGAAAAGAGGCGCAAGCUUCUGCUGAUGGAUGGACCCGCGGUGCAUUAGCUAGUUGGUGAGGUAACGGCUCACCAAGGCCGUGAUGCAUAGCCGACCUGAGAGGGUGAUCGGCCACAUUGGGACUGAGACACGGCCCAAACUCCUACGGGAGGCAGCAGUAGGGAAUCUUCCGCAAUGGACGCAAGUCUGACGGAGCAACGCCGCGUGAGUGAAGAAGGUUUUCGGAUCGUAAAGCUCUGUUGUUAGAGAAGAACAAGUGCUAGAGUAACUGUUAGCGCCUUGACGGUAUCUAACCAGAAAGCCACGGCUAACUACGUGCCAGCAGCCGCGGUAAUACGUAGGUGGCAAGCGUUGUCCGGAUUUAUUGGGCGUAAAGCGAGCGCAGGCGGUUCCUUAAGUCUGAUGUGAAAGCCCCCGGCUCAACCGGGGAGGGUCAUUGGAAACUGGGGAACUUGAGUGCAGAAGAGGAGAGUGGAAUUCCAUGUGUAGCGGUGAAAUGCGUAGAUAUAUGGAGGAACACCAGUGGCGAAGGCGACUCUCUGGUCUGUAACUGACGCUGAGGCUCGAAAGCGUGGGUAGCAAACAGGAUUAGAUACCCUGGUAGUCCACGCCGUAAACGAUGAGUGCUAAGUGUUGGAGGGUUUCCGCCCUUCCGUGCUGCAGUUAACGCAUUAAGCACUCCGCCUGGGGAGUACGACCGCAAGGUUGAAACUCAAAGGAAUUGACGGGGACCCGCA